UCAGGACCGCUCCGAGCCUCGGUUAGCUAACGCAAUGGCUGCCACGAGUUCGGGCGGAACUAUGAAACCACAGGUCAUUUCCAGGCUUGUAUGUCAAAAGAAAAGGAAAAAAACGCUUUUCCCCCUUACAACCUGCUCCAGGGAAGGCUAAGACCUGUAAGCCAUUCAUUGUGUACGUAUAUUUAGUGAACAGGGGCAGUACCAGCACUCCCUCUGCUACUGAAGAGUUGGAGUUGACCCAAGCAGGUUUGGGAAAGCGAUCCCUCACCUUGGCAGAUGAUAUGAAUCAUACAAUGAUCAGCAGGAAGCUGAAGAGGUAUGUGGGCCUAUGCCACAAGAGCUACAAGCUGAAGAUCAAGGAGGACACUGGAGUCAAAAUCAGCCCUCAAGAAUGUCUGUCCCAACAGUCAUGCAGUGGUUAACUGGACAAAGGCACAAACCCCUUCUUCCAUCAGAGAGGGCAGAUUUUAAAAUAAAUGUCAGAUUUGACCACCUGUGUAAGGAAAAAAAAUCCUGGUCACCACAUUUGCUACCCUCUUGUUAGUGCUUGCACAAAUACAGUAACUUUCCCUGUGGCACAUAUGAAUACAUACACUGAGUUCAGAGAUGUGAUAACAACAGCAAUCAGAAUGGGUGGAGCUUUCGGUCGACUCUAAAGCCUCUGGUGGUUCAUUUGUACUCAUGUUGCACCUGUUACAGGCAGCCAGUCAUUAGAUGAUACAAACUUUUCUAAAGAAUGUUG